rnacentral:lncRNA from 1 species
GCAAGCAGAGAGGUCUCAAUCAUCAAAUGUUUGUCAGUAAAAGCCUAAACCCAAAGAAGUCUGCAAUGAAGUUGAUUUGUCUCCCUUCUCAAAGGGUGUUUAUACUUAAGUGGGCAUAAGUGAUUAGAAAACAAACAACCUAUAUACAGGUUUGUUUAAUGAAGUGCCGCAACUGAAAACUAAGAGCUAUAGCAGUACAAAGUUGACCCAAAACCAACCUUGUUCUAAGUUCAAACUAAAGAAACAUCCGAACUUGGACAAAAUUGAGAAUUCCCUUAUUAUUGCUGAGUUUUUAAUUAACUGUUAAUGAUGAUUUUGAUUAAAACAGAGACUGUUUAGAGCCGUUAUUUUCCAAAUCUGGCUUUUCUGUAACACAACAUUAAAAACCAAUCAUAUUUUCAAUCCAACAUUUCGUAUCAAAUGGUGACUACUAAUAUAAAACAUCGGUAAACGGGUUCGAACAUAAACCGAGUUCAAAUAGAUGAUAUAUUUGUAUUGGUCAAGUCUACAUAUGUCUGCAUGAAAAAAAUGGUGCCACACUUGUUUGAAAUGUUUAUAAAAAUUUUAGAUAAAACAAACAAGCAAGACUUUUCUUCUACACUGCAAUGAUUUUUUUUUAUUUUUAUAUAAAUGCACNNNNNNNNNNNNNNNNNNNNNNNNNNNNNNNNNNNNNNNNNNNNNNNNNNNNNNNNNNNNNNNNNNNNNNUUCAUUUAUAAUAAAAUAAAUUCAUGAUGAAGUAAUUAAUUUGGAAAAAGGGAGUGAUUUAAACAGUAAUAAAGUAAUACAAAUAUGACAUUAGCAAAUUUUGACAAAUGUGAAACAAAUCUGGUUAACAUCUAAUCAGUGGAGAAAAAAAGAUAAUUAUGAUAAUUGCUGAUUAAGGUGACCAACUGACCAUGAAAGGAUUCAGUAUUCUUCUUCUCCUAAUUAUUCUAAACCAAACUGAGUAGUUUAAUUUCUCCCCAUGGGAUGAGUACUGAUGGUCAAUUGCGUUUAUCACAAUUAACCCGCAUGAUUAAUUACAACUCCUCAGCCUUUUUCUUUUCCUGCAAACAUGAGCAUAUAUCUGUAUCUGAAUUACAAAAGAAAAAUUGAACUUAUUAAAAAUCGAGAAUUAAUGUUUCCAAAUAACAUAACGUUUUCCGUCGAAGAGAGUAGAAACAUAAUCAUCUGUAAUUAAUUUUUACGUGAUUAUAAAUAUAAAGUUUGAAUUAGUUUUAUAUUAUUUAUUAACACCUCCGAUGUAGUUAGAUAUUUGAAAAAAAAAAUUAAUUUCAAUGAUAUUAAAUUCAUUAUGGUUUCGAAAUUAGAAAUGAAUUCGAUAAUUUUGUUUAUAGUCCCUUUCCCACCCUAAGACGAAUGUUUGAAAUAAAAACAUGGUAUUCGCUCUAACCGAACACACCAUCCAUACUUGGACCAUACACUCAUGGGCUUUUUUUAGGUUGGAUUAUAGGCAAUGAUUAAUGGGUUGUUGCCCGAUGGGCUCCUAGCUAAGCCUUUUUCUAUAGAUAGUGGGCUUUCCGUCCAACUAUACGGAAGAAAAAUAGUUUUGCAUACCUAUUGAAGACUAGGACGGAAGAUGUUUGGUUUCUAACGGUGGAUGGAACGGAAUGAUGUGUUCAGUCGUUAUGUAUAGGCUUGUUUAUUGAAGUGCCGUACUGAAAAUUAAGAGCUAGCAGUGCAAAGUUGACCCAAAACUGAAACCUCGUUCCAAGUUCAAACCUCUCCAGGAAAGAAACAUCCCAACUUAGACAAAAUGCCUGAAUGAAAUGUUGAAAUGUUGCAUUUUUGUUUUAGAUGAGGCGAUUUGUUGAAAUGUUGAAAUGCUAGCAAGAACCUUUGUUUGUGCUUAUAUAUAAGCUGAUACGACGAGAAUUCUCUACCAAGGUCUGUUUUUGUUCUUUUGAAUGCUGUAGAUGAAUUGAGCAGAUCAAUGAUUCUAACUUUCUUCAGUACUUCAGUUUGGGGAGAUGGGUUACGUUUAUCUAUAGUUCCUAUUUGUUUUAAAAUGAGAGCUCUUGAUUCAUUGUGCUGGUUUCAUUCGAAGAGGCCAACGAUGAGCACUGGACUGGAAGAGCAGUAAAGGUGACAUUGUAUGAUGGCUGAAACCAAUCAUCAUAAAACCUUUGUCAAGUGAUCUCUAUGCUUGAUAAGUAUGUUUCCUUGUUAGAAUCUAAAGUAUAGUCUGUGUACCAGCAACAAUCAUCUGCUUCAUGAAUGGAAUAAAACUCGUUUUUUCUCUUGCAAUUGGUUCAGUUAAUUAGUCUGGCAACGGAUUACAAUUAUACAAGCAAAGUGCACAAAAGAAAGUAGAACAAGGAGGCAUUUCUCAAAUCAUUUCAUUCAUGUUAAACAAAAAAGGUUUACAAGAUGUAAGGAACAAUUCUCAAUCAUGUUCUAAUAACAGUAGAGCAGCUAUUGCUACCCACACUGCUACUUGAACGUUGCAAAAUGGAACUAAUCAUCUUCCUCACAGCUACAUUAGGCACAAAAUCACCAUCUCCACCAUCAAUAUUAGCCGCCGCUCCACAAGCACACGUCUUCGAUUUCUUCACAUGCUCUCUGAUGCAACCUUGGCAGAAGCUCCUUAAGCAGCAUCUCUUCACCAACACGGCAUCUCUCAUCACUCCUCUGCAUAAUUGACAAUGAAGCUCCGGCGGCAGAACCACCAUAUCACUGCUGCUGCUGGAUUGAGAUUGAGAAACCACCGACGAUAAGAUUCCCUCCACUGCUGUUGCUGCACUUGGCGUUGAUGGUCGCAUUCUCUUGAAGUUGUUGUAAUUUGGAUCGCCGUUUGUUGGACAGUCGUAAAUGAAGUGGCCCUCUUUGUUGCAGCGGUGGCAGACGUAGCCGGGAGGAGGGAGAGAGGGGUAAGGUUGCUUUCUCUUUCUCGAGUCCCAUCCUCCGUCGCUGUUGCUGGUGAGUGUAGACGCCAUCGCUUGUGACCAGCUUCCAAAAGCAGGAGUGAUCAUCGUGUUCUUCGGAGGCGCGUCAACAACUUUUGAAGGAACUGCGUAGACAUCCCCACCGAAUUCAUCAUCGUCGUACAGAUAGUCUGUUUCCUCCUCUGUUGCUGCCUUGCUGAUGGUGGAGCUCUGAGAAACAACGGUGCUAGACUUGGUGGCGGUAAUGGAACUUGAAUACGAUUGACCAGCUGCCUUCAAUUGAAUCGGGCUAGUGUCGAGUUGCUGAUAACCGCCGCCUGGGACUCGGCCGCCUGGGACUCGCCGGAGUAAAACGGACGAGUUGCCAAAAAUCUCCUGCUGCUCGUUCUCAUACUCAGUGUUGGUCUGGGAAUCGAUGAUCGAGAGAUCGUAAUCGUUUCCCAAGCACAACCCGUCCUUACGGCGACUGUAAUCGCCGUACUUAGCUUUGAAUUUGGCGUUAAAGAUUCCCUCUUUCAGAUCCUUAACGGUUACGCAACGCCCUGAAAAUUGGAUCUCGGAAAAUUCCUUAGCACUCUGGAACUUAUAGCUCACUAUCACAAUCGCCAUGAUUUUAGGGUUUCUGUUUGUUCUAGAAAAAGAUGCAGAAAAUUGGAUUCAAUUUCGGGACGCGUCGAAUCACGAAAGCAUUAUAUUACGCAAAACAAAACCAGGUAUUCGAAAAUAUUCAGAUUGAUUGAUCAUAAACCCUAAUAAAGUAUACGCAAUCGAAGGCGGGAGCGAGAGAUGAUCAAACUCGGAGCAACAAGCAGAGAGGAUUUCUAUCAAUAUUGAACGUACAAAAGAAAUUACAACCAAUUUAUUGAUUCUUUCUUUUCAAUCAGAUAGAGACAGGCAAUUACAAUUUCAGAUCGCCAACUAUUCUUUUCAAUCCGUCGUCUUCCUUCUGGUGGAAGCUGCUGUCGUCGGCCGGAAAAAGAACAGGGAAGCAAUCGCGAAGAGAUCACCGGAGAGGGGAGAAAGAAUGAAAGAAACCACCGUGAUUUUGAGAGCGUCGGAAGAAUGCUUUUUCUUUUUUAGUCUGAAAGUAAAAGUUAAGAAGCAAUAAAAAGGUGCAGAUCUCGCUGAGACGUUUGGGUAUAUAUAUAAUAUAUUGGGGGAGAAAGGGUGUUGCACGCGCU